GAUGAACGCUAGCGAUAGGCUUAACACAUGCAAGUCGAGGGGCAGCGAGGGUAGCAAUACCUGUCGGCGACCGGCGCACGGGUGAGUAACGCGUAUGUAACCUGCCCGCAACAGGGGGAUAACCCGGCGAAAGUCGGACUAAUACCGCAUAAAACAGGGGUCCCGCAUGGGAAUAUUUGUUAAAGAUUUAUCGGUUGCGGAUGGGCAUGCGUACCAUUAGGUAGUUGGUGAGGUAACGGCUCACCAAGCCUUCGAUGGUUAGGGGUUCUGAGAGGAAGGUCCCCCACACUGGUACUGAGACACGGACCAGACUCCUACGGGAGGCAGCAGUGAGGAAUAUUGGUCAAUGGGCGAGAGCCUGAACCAGCCAAGUCGCGUGAAGGAUGACUGCCCUAUGGGUGGUAAACUUCUUUUACAAGGGAAGAAAAUGAGAUACGUGUAUUUUAUUGCAUGUACCUUGGGAAUAAGCAUCGGCUAACUCCGUG
rnacentral:rRNA from 1 species